CAAGCUUCCACCCGUGUUUAUUUUACCUUAGUUGCUUCGGCGGGCCCGGCCUAACUGGCCGGCGGGGGGCUUACGCCCCCGGGCCCGCGCCCGCCGAAAAACCCUCGAACUCUGUGUGAAGAUUGUAGUCUGAGUGAAAAUAUAAAUUAUUUAAAACUUUCAACAACGGAUCUCUUGGUUCCGGCAUCGAUGAAGAACGCAGCGAAAUGCGAUACGUAAUGUGAAUUGCAAAUUCAGUGAAUCAUCGAGUCUUUGAACGCUCAUUGCGCCCCCUGGUAUUCCGGGGGGCAUGCCUGUCCGAGCGUCAUUUCUGCCCUCAAGCACGGGUUGUGUGUUGGGCCCCGUCCUCCGAUCCCCGGGGACGGGCCCCAAAGGCAGCGGCGGGUCCGCGUCCGGUCCUCCAGCGUAUGGGGCUUUGUCACCCGCUCUGUAGGCCCGGCCGGCGCUUGCCGAUCAAACCAAAUAAUUAUCCAGGUUGACCUCGGAUCAAGUAGGGAUACCCGCUGAACUUAAUCAUAUCUAUAACGGGAGGAA
rnacentral:rRNA from 1 species